rnacentral:snoRNA from 1 species
UGGCGACGAUGUCAAAAAGGGAAGCUUUUUCUCUAAAAUAUUCGCAGUGGCCGCCUGAAAGUUUUCGCCUUGCUCUCGUUGGAUAUUGGGAACUUAUGCUGGUUAAUUCUUCCUUGGAUGUCUGAUCUA